UACGGAGGGAGCUAGCGUUGUUCGGAAUUACUGGGCGUAAAGCGCACGUAGGCGGACUUGUCAGUCAGGGGUGAAAUCCCAAGGCUCAACCUUGGAACUGCCUCCGAUACAGCGAGUCUUGAGAUCGGGAGAGGUGAGUGGAAUUCCUAGUGUAGAGGUGAAAUUCGUAGAUAUUAGGAAGAACACCAGUGGCGAAGGCGGCUCUCUGGCCCGAUACUGACGCUGAGGUGCGAAAGCGUGGGGAGCAAACAGG
rnacentral:rRNA from 1 species